rnacentral:misc_RNA from 1 species
GAUUGAUACAGUAGACAAUUCAUUAUGUGGUUGAGUAGAACUAUUUCUAAGGUUAAAAUAGAUAAUAGUGCCAAGCUUAUUGUUUUUGAUGAACAGACUAUUACUAACUGUUUUUGUAGAAAAGCACGGCGUAAAGAAAAGGAAGGAAGUGAAUCAUCAUCAUCAAAUGACUCAAAAUUGUAUUUAGAGGCAACCGUUUUAGAACGAAAAUUACCAGAAAUGGAUAUGCGACUUUUAGUAGAUUUACCACCUGGUCUUGACUAUAAUGAAUGGCUAGCAUCACACACUAUGGCCCUAUUUGACCAUGUAAAUCUAGUAUAUGGUUCAAUUAGUGAAUUUUGUACUCCAUCCGGUUGUCCAGACAUGACAGGUCCAGGUCAAAGGACUUAUUUAUGGUUUGACGAAAAGGGGAAAAAGACAAAGGUUGCAGCACCCCAGUAUAUAGACUAUGUGAUGACAUUUAUCCAGAAAACUAUUAGUGAUGAAACUAUUUUUCCUACAAAAUAUGCAAAUGAAUUUCCUUCAUCCUUCGAGUCAAUAGUGAGAAAGAUAGUUAGGCUGUUGUUCCACGUGAUGGCGCAUCUGUACGCCGCUCAUUUUAAAGAAGUGGUAAUGUUGGGUCUUCACGCCCACCUUAAUCUGACAUUCGCCCAUUUGACGGCCCUCCAUCAUCGGUUCUCUUUGAUCGAAUUGAAAGAAACGGAAAUUUUAAGAGAUCUUGAAGUUGCUCUCAGGCUGACAGAGGAUAGUACGCAAGAGGGCGGUAAUAAUAAUGACAAGUCCGAAUCGUCGGAUGUAGACUCGAAAUCUAAUUUAACUGAAGGAAGCUGUUCCAUUUUAUAACAGCUACCACUUCCAAAGCUAGAUUUAACGAAAAAUUCCACAGAGAACUGAGCUCUUUUUUAUUUGAAUUUUUUAUUUUUAUUCUAACCUAAUAUCUCUGUGGGUGGUGACAAUAAAUCCUAGUUUUGCUGGGGACACGAAAAAAUAUGUAUAUUUUAUGUAAUGCAAUUUUUUGUCUCUCCAAGUACACUAACCACUUGGCUAUUAGAGCAUGUGAUUUAAGACACAAUAGUGACUUUUAAUUUUUUAGUGGUAACUUUUAUUUAUUGUUUUAACAUGUUUUAUUUAUAUUUAGCCGACGUUGUUAUAAAAUUAAUGCAGAUAAAGAAAAAGGAACUUACGAGUCUGAGAAAGAUACUUUUAUACAGAAAAGUUCAAAAAUAUAUAAAUAUUUAUUUAUUAUUUUGUUGGUUGAGUAGAGAUUUUUCAAAUGUCUAUUUAGGUCAGUUACUUCCAAAUAUUUUAUUACAAA